rnacentral:rRNA from 1 species
GCAAGUCGAACGAGAAAUGCGAAUAGCUUGCUAAUUGCAUUUCUAGUGGCGGACGGGUGCGUAACACGUGAGCAACCUACCCUAAAGUGGGGGCUAGCCUUCCGUAAGGAAGAUUAAUACCGCAUGUGGCCUUCGGGUCAAAGAUAGCUUCGGCUGUCGCUUUUGGAUGGGCUCGCGGCCUAUCAGCUUGUUGGUGAGGUAACGGCUCACCAAGGCUACGACGGGUACCUGGUCUGAGAGGACGAUC